rnacentral:rRNA from 1 species
UCAGAAGAUCUGACGGUACUUGAUGAAUAAGCCACGGCUAAUUCCGUGCCAGCAGCCGCGGUAAUACGGGAGUGGCAAGCGUUAUCCGGAAUUAUUGGGCGUAAAGCGUCCGCAGGCGGCCCUUCAAGUCUGCUGUUAAAAAGUGGAGCUUAACUCCAUCAUGGCAGUGGAAACUGAGGGGCUUGAGUGUGGUAGGGGCAGAGGGAAUUCCCGGUGUAGCGGUGAAAUGCGUAGAUAUCGGGAAGAACACCAGUGGCGAAGGCGCUCUGCUGGGCCAUCACUGACGCUCAUGGACGAAAGCCAGGGGAGCGAAAGGGAUUAGAUACCCCUGUAGUCCUGGCCGUAAACGAUGAACACUAGGUGUCGGGGGAAUCGACCCCCUCGGUGUCGUAGCCAACGCGUUAAGUGUUCCGCCUGGGGAGUACGCACGCAAGUGUGAAACUCAAAGGAAUUGACGGGGGCCCGCACAAGCGGUGGAGUAUGUGGUUUAAUUCGAUGCAACGCGAAGAACCUUACCAGGGUUUGACAUCCUGCGAAUCUCUUGGAAACGAGAGAGUGCCUUCGGGAACGCAGUGACAGGUGGUGCAUGGCUGUCGUCAGCUCGUGUCGUGAGAUGUUGGGUUAAGUCCCGCAACGAGCGCAACCCACGUCUUUAGUUGCCAGCAUUUAGUUGGGCACUCUAGAGAGACCGCCGGUGAUAAACCGGAGGAAGGUGUGGAUGACGUCAAGUCAUCAUGCCCCUUACAUCCUGGGCUACACACGUACUACAAUGCUACGGACAGAGGGCAGCAAGUUCGCGAG